rnacentral:rRNA from 1 species
CGACUUAUAUUCUGUAGCAAGGUUAACCGAAUAGGGGAGCCGGAGGGAAACCGAGUCUUAACCGGGCGUUAAGUUGCAGGGUAUAGACCCGAAACCCGGUGAUCUAGCCAUGGGCAGGUUGAAGGUUGGGUAACACUAACUGGAGGACCGAACCGACUAAUGUUGAAAAAUUAGCGGAUGACCUGUGGCUGGGGGUGAAAGGCCAAUCAAACCGGGAGAUAGCUGGUUCUCCCCGAAAGCUAUUUAGGUAGCGCCUCGUGAAUUCAUCUCCGGGGGUAGAGCACUGUUUCGGCUAGGGGGCCAUCCCGGCUUACCAACCCGAUGCAAACUGCGAAUACCGGAGAAUGUUAUCACGGGAGACACACGGCGGGUGCUAACGUCCGUCGUGAAGAGGGAAACAACCCAGACCGCCAGCUAAGGUCCCAAAGUCAUGGUUAAGUGGGAAACGAUGUGGGAAGGCCCAGACAGCCAGGAUGUUGGCUUAGAAGCAGCCAUCAUUUAAAGAAAGCGUAAUAGCUCACUGGUCGAGUCGGCCUGCGCGGAAGAUGUAACGGGGCUAAACCAU